rnacentral:rRNA from 1 species
UACGUAGGGGGCAAGCGUUGUCCGGAUUUAUUGGGCGUAAAGAGCGUGUAGGCGGCCAUGUAGGUCCGUUGUGAAAACUCGAGGCUCAACCUCGAGACGCCGAUGGAAACCAUGUGGCUAGAGUCCGGAAGAGGAGAGUGGAAUUCCUGGUGUAGCGGUGAAAUGCGUAGAGAUGCGGAGGAACACCGAUGGCGAAGGCAGCCCCCUGGGCUAGCACUGACGCUCAGGCACGAAAGCGUGGGGAGCAAACAGG